AGGGAAUCUUCCGCAAUGGACGAAAGUCUGACGGAGCAACGCCGCGUGAGUGAUGAAGGUUUUCGGAUCGUAAAACUCUGUUGUUAGGGAAGAACAAGUACAAGAGUAACUGCUUGUACCUUGACGGUACCUAACCAGAAAGCCCCGGCUAACUACGUGCCAGCAGCCGCGGUAAUACGUAGGGGGCGAGCGUUGUCCGGAAUUAUUGGGCGUAAAGCGCGCGCAGGCGGUCCUUUAAGUCUGAUGUGAAAGCCCACGGCUUAACCGUGGAGGGUCAUUGGAAACUGGAGGACUUGAGUACAGAAGAGGAGAGUGGAAUUCCACGUGUAGCGGUGAAAUGCGUAGAGAUGUGGAGGAACACCAGUGGCGAAGGCGACUCUCUGGUCUGUAACUGACGCUGAGGCGCGAAAGCGUGGGGAGCGAAC
rnacentral:rRNA from 1 species